rnacentral:rRNA from 1 species
AGUUUGAUCCUGGCUCAGGAUGAACGCUAGCUACAGGCUUAACACAUGCAAGUCGAGGGGCAUCAUGGAGUUUGCUUGCAAACUCUGAUGGCGACCGGCGCACGGGUGAGUAACGCGUAUCCAACCUUCCCUAUAGUAGAGGAUAGCCCGGCGAAAGUCGGAUUGAUACUCUAUGUUUUCCGUUGCAGACAUCUAAGAUGGAACAAAGGUUCACCGCUAUGGGAUGGGGAUGCGUCUGAUUAGGUAGUCGGCGGGGUAACGGCCCACCGAGCCAUCGAUCAGUAGGGGUUCUGAGAGGAAGGUCCCCCACAUUGGAACUGAGACACGGUCCAAACUCCUACGGGAGGCAGCAGUGAGGAAUAUUGGUCAAUGGGCGAGAGCCUGAACCAGCCAAGUAGCGUGCAGGAUGACGGCCCUAUGGGUUGUAAACUGCUUUUAUACAGGGAUAAAGUCGGGGACGCGUUCCCCGUUUGCAGGUACUGUAUGAAUAAGGACCGGCUAAUUCCGUGCCAGCAGCCGCGGUAAU